rnacentral:rRNA from 1 species
UACGAAGGGGGCUAGCGUUGCUCGGAAUCACUGGGCGUAAAGGGCGCGUAGGCGGCCAUUCAAGUCGGAGGUGAAAGCCCAGGGCUCAACCCUGGAAUUGCCUUCGAUACUGUUUGGCUAGAGACCGGAAGAGGUAAGUGGGAACUGCGAGUGUAGAGGUGAAAUUCGUAGAUAUUCGCAAGAACACCAGUGGCGAAGGCGGCUUACUGGUCCGGUUCUGACGCUGAGGCGCGAAAGCGUGGGGAGCAAACAGG